rnacentral:rRNA from 1 species
UACGUAGGCAGCGAGCGUUGUUCGGAAUUACUGGGCGUAAAGAGUGUGUAGGCGGUGUUCCCAGUCUGUUGUGAAAUCUCCCGGCUUAACUGGGAGGGUGCAGCGGAAACUAGAAUGCUAGAGGGUGGGAGAGGUAAGCGGAAUUUCUGGUGUAGCGGUGAAAUGCGUAGAUAUCAGGAGGAACACCUGUGGUGUAGACAGCUUACUGGACCACUUCUGACGCUGAGACACGAAAGCGUGGGUAGCAAACAGG